GACGAACGCUGGCGGCGUGCCUAAUACAUGCAAGUAGAACGCUAAAGCGAGGCGUUUGCUCUUCUCGGAAGAGUCGCGAACGGGAGAGAAACGUGAGUGUAAUGUGCUUUGUAGUGGGGUAACACUAUUGGAAUCGGUAGCUAAUACGGCAUAACCAUCGACGGCACAUGUGAGGUUUGAGAAAGGGGCAAGUUCGCCGCUACAGGAUGGACCCGCGGUGUAUUAGCUAGUAGGUGAGGUAAUGGCUCACAUAGGCGACGAUGGGUAGCCGGCCUGAGAGGGUGACCGGCCACAUUGGGACUGGGAAACGGGCAAGACUCCUACGGGGGGCAUGAGUGGAGAACUGUGCGCGAUGGGCGGAAGGCUGAUGCAGCAACUCCGGGUGGUGGAUGACGGCUGUAGGGUUGUAACCCGUGUUCGCGUGUGACGAAGAGUGAGUGACGGUAAUGUGUAAAGAAGCAACGGCUAACUACGUG
rnacentral:rRNA from 1 species